AACGAACGCUGGCGGCGUGCUUAACACAUGCAAGUCGAACGUGAUUGGGAGCUUGCUCCCAUGAAAGUGGCGCACGGGUGAGUAACACGUGGAUAAUCUGCCUGGUGAUCUGGGAUAACACUUCGAAAGGGGUGCUAAUACCGGAUAAGCCCACGGUUUCUUCGGAGAGCGCGGGAAAAGGGGGCCUCUGCAUCUGCUCCUGUCACAAGAUGAGUCCGCGGCCCAUUAGCUAGUUGGUAGGGUAAUGGCCUACCAAGGCGACGAUGGGUAGCUGGUCUAAGAGGAUGAUCAGCCACGCUGGAACUGAGACACGGUCCAGACUCCUACGGGAGGCAGCAGUGGGGAAUUUUGCGCAAUGGGCGAAAGCCUGACGCAGCAACGCCGCGUGAGUGAUGAAGGCCUUCGGGUCGUAAAGCUCUGUCAGAGGGGAAGAACCGCCGGGUGGCUAAUACCUGCCUGGUCUGACGGUACCCUCAAAGGAAGCACCGGCUAACUCCGUGCCAGCAGCCGCCGUAACAC
rnacentral:rRNA from 1 species